GGAAGGAUCAUUACAGAAUCGUCAACGGGUUGUUGCUGGUCCUCAAACGGGGACAUGUGCACGCUCUGUUUACACAUCCACUCACACCUGUGCACCCUCCGUAGUUCUGUGGUCUGGGGGACCCUGUCUUCCUGCCGUGGUUCUACGUCUUUACACACACACUGUAAUAAAGUCUUAUGGAAUGUAUGUCGCGUCUAACGCAAUACAAUACAACUUUCAGCAACGGAUCUCUUGGCUCUCGCAUCGAUGAAGAACGCAGCGAAAUGCGAUAAGUAAUGUGAAUUGCAGAAUUCAGUGAAUCAUCGAAUCUUUGAACGCACCUUGCGCCCCUUGGCUAUUCCGAGGGGCAUGCCUGUUUGAGUAUCAUGAACACCUCAACUCUCAUGGUUCGCCGUGAUGAGCUUGGACUCUGGGGGUUUUGCUGGCCUGCGGUCGGCUCCCCUCAAAUGAAUCAGCCUCCCAGUGUUUGGUGGCAUCACGGGUGUGAUAAAUAUCUACGCUCGCGGUUGUCUGCCAGGUAACCUUUGGCGACAAAGGUUCGCUGGAGCUCACAGAUGUCUCUCCUCAGCGAGGACAGCUUUUUGAACGUUCGAUCUCAAAUCAGGUAGGACUACCCGCUGAACUUAAGCAUAUCAAUAAGCGGAGGAAAAGAAACUAACAAGGAUUCCCCUAGUAACUGCGAGUGAAGCGGGAAGAGCUCAAAUUUAAAAUCUGG
rnacentral:sRNA from 1 species